UCCCUGAGAAUUCCAUCGACGAC
rnacentral:miRNA from 1 species